AGUGAACGCUGGCGGCGUGCCUAAUACAUGCAAGUCGAACGAAGUGGCGCGCGGGUGAGUAAUAUAUAGUUAAACUGCCACACACAGAGGAACAACAGAUGGAAACGGGUGCUAAUACCCCAUAGUGUAGGAUGAGACUAUAACGUAUCAGCUAGUUGGUAAGGUAAUGGCUUACCAAGGAUAUGACGCGUAACUGGUCUGAGAGGAUGAUCAGUCACAUCGGAGCUGAGGCACCGGCCAAACACCUACGACAAUCGGCAGUAGUGUAAUUUGCGCAAGGGGCGUAACCCUGACGGAGCGUCGCCGCGUAGAGGAUGACACUUUUCGAAGCGUAAGCUCCUUAUAUCAGGAACGCGGUACCUGAUGAAUAAGCACCGGCUAACUCCGUGCCAGCAGCCGCGGUAAUUC
rnacentral:rRNA from 1 species